GCCCAAUGCAUGUAGUAACUUAUAGAUAUAUUUAGAAAACUGAUUAUCUUUUAAAAUACGACUACAGACUAAAAUGCAGAGUUCAUUAAAAUACAGAUGAUGACUGUGGUUCUCUGGUCUUCUCUUGACUCCUGUUGUCUACUAAGAUAAGAAGUCUGGGCUAGGCUGAAGAACUCAGAAUCCAGGUAUGGGGUUUCCCAGUACUGUACUCCCAUUUCUCAGUACUGUGCUCCAUCUCUCAGUACUGUGUGCUCCUGUUUCCCAGUACUGUGCUCCCAUUUCCCAGUACUGUGCUCCCAUUGCCCAACACUGUGCUCCCAUUUCCCAAUACUAUACUCCCAUUCCCUGGUACUGUGUGCUCCCAUUUCCCAGUACUGUGCUCCCAUUGCCCAACACUGUGCUCCCAUUUCCCAGUACUGUGUGCUCCAUUUCCCAGUACUAUGCUCCCAUUUCCCAGUACUGUGCUCCCAUUUCCCAGUACUGUGUGCUCCCAUUUCCCAGUAGUCUGCACUCCCAUUUCCCAGUACUGUGUGCUCUCAUUUCCCAGCACCGUGCUCCCAUUUCCCAGUACUAUGCUCCCAUUUCCCAAUACUGUGUGGUCCAAUUUCCCAGUACUGUGUGCUACCAUUUCCCAAUACUGUGUGCUCCCAUUUCGCAGCACUGUGCUCCCAUUUCCCUGUACUGUGUGCUCCCAUUUCCUAGGACUAUGCUCCCAUUUCUCACUACUGUGCUCCCAUUUCUCAGCACUGAGCUCCCAUUUCGCAGUACUGUGUGCUCUCAUUUCCUAGGACUGUGCUCCCAUUUCUCAGCACUGUGGUCCCAUUUCUCAGUACUGUGCCCACAGGUGUGAUCCAACGUCCCUGGCCCAUCAGCUCUUCUUGAGCAGCAAGAGGCCCUGCAGCUGGCUGGCUGGCUGGACAGCACAGUUAAGCAGGUGGCCGCAUCCUCUGCAGUUGCUGGCAGCCCACCAUCCUGGAGAUGUAACCCCUCCUGCCAGGCUUGUUCUUCUUUGGUUGUGAUGAAGAUGAUGACAGUGAUGG
rnacentral:lncRNA from 1 species